rnacentral:ncRNA from 1 species
CUAGAGAUAGGCCGUUCCCCUUCGGGGGACAGAGUGACAGGUGGUGCAUGGUUGUCGUCAGCUCGUGUCGUGAGAUGUUGGGUUAAGUCCCGCAACGAGCGCAACCCUUGAUCUUAGUUGCCAGCAUUAAGUUGGGCACUCUAAGGUGACUGCCGGUGACAAACCGGAGGAAGGUGGGGAUGACGUCAAAUCAUCAUGCCCCUUAUGAUCUGGGCUACACACGUGCUACAAUGGGCGGUACAAAGGGCAGCGAAACCGCAAGGUCAAGCCAAUCCCAUAAAGCCGCCCCCAGUUCGGAUUGCAGGCUGCAACUCGCCUGCAUGAAGCCGGAAUUGCUAGUAAUCGCGGAUCAGCAUGCCGCGGUGAAUCCGUUCCCGGGCCUUGUACACACCGCCCGUCACACCACGAGAGUUUGUAACACCCGAAGUCGGUGUGGGAACCUUUAUGGACCCAGCCGCCGAAGGUGGGACAAAUGAUUGGGGUGAAGUCGUAACAAGGUAGCCGUAUCGGAAGGUGCGGCUGGAUCACCUCCUUU